UUUUACGCUUGCGUGAGGGAUUGCAGCGAAAAUCCUUUUACUUUUUUCUUUAAAAAGUAAAAGAUUGUAACGGAAAGCCCGACCCGAA
rnacentral:sRNA from 1 species